AUCUCGGUAGUGUAAGGGAGCAGAGCACGGUCCCUGGAAAGGACAAGUACGGGUUCGAGUCCCGUCCGAGACU
rnacentral:tRNA from 1 species